rnacentral:misc_RNA from 1 species
UAACCGUAGGUGAACCUGCGGUUGGAUCAUUAAUGAAUGAACUGACUGAGCAAGCUCCUCGGAGCAGCUCUGGUCGUCAACACCUUGUGAAUUGUGAAUGUCUUUGGCAAGUGAUGCGUUUCGAGUAAUCGAGAUGCAGAGUUUCACUCGGUUUGAGCGAAAGCUUGCCUAUGAAUUUUAAACUAUUGCCUUUUGAGCCUGACCAAUUUUUAUCAGAGAAAUACUGAAACAACUUUUGGCAACGGAUCUCUUGGCUCUCGCAUCGAUGAAGAACGCAGC